UUCUGCAGGAAAUAUUAGCCUAGUGGUAAGAGAUUGGCCUGAAGAUUGUCCAAACUGGAAAGUGACUUUGGUGAAGUGGCAUUCUAAUCUGUAGCUAUAUUUUUCUUUUUUAGUUUUUUUUUUAUUGCCACUUGUUCUGAGGCUUGACCAGUGUGAGGGUCUCCCAAUGAGAAGCAUUUAAUGGUUUGCAUUGCAAGUUAGAAUGAUACACCUGAGAGGGGGAAAAGACAAGAGGAAGAGUGGAACUGGGACUUGUCUCAUUGUCCCCUUGAUUAGCAUCUCAAAGCAAUAUGUGAUUGUAAAGGUUUUGCUAUAUAUAGCUUUUUUCAAUUUGAUCAAACUGGAUGGUAAUUGAGAUUAGAAGCCCAGAUUCAAAAUCA
rnacentral:lncRNA from 1 species